ensembl:snoRNA SNORA62 Small nucleolar RNA SNORA62/SNORA6 family
UCUGUACAUUGUUAGAGCUUAGAGUUGAGGCUACUGACUAGCUGAUGAACUCGCAAGUGUAGGUAGUGUGCCUCAUGAGAGGCAAGUUUUUCGCUAACACCGUGAGGGUCUCUGGCCUGAUGAGUGAAGUUUGAUAGUAAUUCUUGCUACAGUA